rnacentral:rRNA from 1 species
CGGGGGAUAAGCUUCGUAGUCGAGAGGGAAACAGCCCAGAUCGCCGGCUAAGGCCCCUAAGCGUGUACUAAGUGGAAAAGGAUGUGGGGUCGCGAAGACAACCAGGAGGUUGGCUUAGAAGCAGCCAUCCUUGAAAGAGUGCGUAAUAGCUCACUGGUCAAGUGAUCCUGCGCCGACAAUGUAGCGGGGCUCAAGUACACCGCCGAAGCCGCGGCACUCCAACAUGACAUCCGCAUCGGGUUACGGUCCGGUGUGCAGUGGUUGGGGUGGGUAGGGGAGCGUCGUGCAGCCAGGGAAGCAGCAGUGUGAACUAGUUGUGGAGGCUGUGCGAGUGAGAAUGCAGGCAUGAGUAGCGAAAGACGAGUGAGAAACUCGUCCGCCGAAUGACCAAGGGUUCCUGGGCCAGGUUAAUCCGCCCAGGGUGAGUCGGGACCUAAGGCGAGGCCGACAGGCGUAGUCGAUGGACAACGGGUUGAUAUUCCCGUACCCGUGUAUCCGCGCCCAAUGGCGAAUCAGUGGUGCUAAGUGCCCAAAAGCGGAUGGACCUCCUUCGGGAGGCCGGAAGUGGCUGCGCAUGACCCCUGCUGUAGUAGUCAAGCGAUGGGGUGACGCAGGAAGGUAGCUGGGCCAGUGAGUGGUUGUACUGGUGUAAGCCUGUAGGGCGUUGUGUAGGCAAAUCCGCACAACAUGAGCCUGAGAGGUGAUGCGUAGCCGAUUGAGGUGAAUUCAGUGAUCCUAUGCUGCCGAGAAAAGCCUCUAGUGAGUUGGUACACGGCCCGUACCCCAAACCGACACAGGUGGUCAGGUAGAGAAUA